UACGUAGGGUGCAAGCGUUGUCCGGAAUUAUUGGGCGUAAAGAGCUCGUAGGCGGUCUGUCGCGUCGAAUGUGAAAACCCGGGGCUCAACCCCGGGCCUGCAUUCGAUACGGGGCAGACUAGAGUUCGGUAGGGGAGUCUGGAAUUCCUGGUGUAGCGGUGAAAUGCGCAGAUAUCAGGAGGAACACCGGUGGCGAAGGCGGCCACCUGGACGGUCACUGACGCUGAGACGCGAAAGCGUGGGGAGCAAACAGG
rnacentral:rRNA from 1 species